rnacentral:rRNA from 1 species
UACGUAGGGUGCGAGCGUUAAUCGGAAUUACUGGGCGUAAAGCGUGCGCAGGCGGUUAUGUAAGACAGUUGUGAAAUCCCCGGGCUCAACCUGGGAAUUGCAUCUGUGACUGCAUAGCUAGAGUACGGUAGAGGGGGAUGGAAUUCCGCGUGUAGCAGUGAAAUGCGUAGAUAUGCGGAGGAACACCGAUGGCGAAGGCAGGUCUCUGGGCUGACACUGACGCUCAUGCACGAAAGCGUGGGGAGCAAACAGG